rnacentral:rRNA from 1 species
CCCUUAGAUGUUCUGGGCCGCACGCGCGCUACAAUGGUCUUCGCAAACGGAUGCAUUCUCGAAGGAGAAUGCCAAUCUUGGAAUCUAUGCCUUGGUCGGGACAGUUGCUUGCAAUUUUUCGACUCGAACCAGGAAUUCCUUGUAAUCGUGAUCCAUCACAUCACGAUGAAUACGUCCCUGCCCUUUGUACACACCGCCCGUCGCUCCUACCGAUCGAAGAGUUAGGUGAAUUGUUUUGAUCGAUAAGAUUUGACUAUGGUCAACUCUCGUUGUGAAAUUCUGUGAAUCUGACUGUUUAGAGGAAGGAAAAGUCGUAACA